GGGAGGAAUUCACGGCGGCUACUUAAAAUUUUGAUUUUUAUGUGCCCAAAAGAGCAAAGACACGAUUUUAAUCUCCCUGUCUUGGUUUCAGGGGCCGACCGUGUCCGCUGCGUUCGACAAUCGACAAACCCUAUAAAAUGCUGCCAAUACAAGUGAUGAACGGCUCUGCAAAAAGAGAAGAGAAGGCAAGGAAAGGAUGAAGGUUUUGGUGGAGAUGCUAACUGGGAGGUUGUUCCACGUCGAGCUAGGUGGAGAAGGAUGCCACGGUGGGGAACUUGAAGAAGGCCAUCGCCGUCGUUGGAGAGGAGAAGAUGCCACUGGAGCAGCAUGUGCUUCUCGUGCUCGGCAAUGGCCGCCUGCUGGCUGACGACGGCUCUGCCCUCGCCGAGGCCGGUGUGCGUGACGACUCCGUCAUCUACCUCUUCUUCACCUCCAUCGGAGACCCAAACUGGCUCCCAUUUCUCGACUACCAUGUCAUUUAGGUGCUGGAGUUGGCGGGCAGUGCGGCGCGGGACAACAAGAAGACUCGCAUUGUGCCGCGGCACAUCCAGUUGACGGUGAGGAAUGACGCGAUGAGCUAACGAAGCUGCUGGUCUCCGUCACCAUCGCCAGCGGCGGCGUGAUGCUUAGAAUCCACAACCUCCUCCCCAAGGCCUCCAAGCCUUCCGGCGCUGGCGACGACGAGAGCUGAGCCUUUGGCGGUCGCAAAUGUUCUUCCUUCUAUCAUCAGGUCAUCUAAGAUGGCGACGUGCUCUCUCCAAAUAGAUCAGAUGUACAGAUUCGAUGCUCUGGCUGCUCUGUUUAAUGUCGUUUUGUACAUUGAAGAAGAGUUUUGGCAUGGAAAAAAUCACUCUUUUACCGAGUGUAACUUCGAUGGCGAAGAUGGCGAUCGCAUUGGAUCGAACCAAUCUUCCUUUUAUAGACCAAAAAGAUGAAUGACAAUAAGAACUAGUUCUUCACAA